rnacentral:rRNA from 1 species
CAGUGGCGAACGGGUGAGUAACACGUGAGCAACCUGCCCCUGACUCUGGGAUAAGCGCUGGAAACGGCGUCUAAUACUGGAUAUGUGACGUGACCGCAUGGUCUGCGUUUGGAAAGAUUUUUCGGUUGGGGAUGGGCUCGCGGCCUAUCAGCUUGUUGGUGAGGUAAUGGCUCACCAAGGCGUCGACGGGUAGCCGGCCUGAGAGGGUGACCGGCCACACUGGGACUGAGACACGGCCCAGACUCCUACGGGAGGCAGCAGUGGGGAAUAUUGCACAAUGGGCGGAAGCCUGAUGCAGCAACGCCGCGUGAGGGAUGACGGCCUUCGGGUUGUAAACCUCUUUUAGCAGGGAAGAAGCGAAAGUGACGGUACCUGCAGAAAAAGCGCCGGCUAACUACGUGCCAGCAGCCGCGGUAAUACGUAGGGCGCAAGCGUUAUCCGGAAUUAUUGGGCGUAAAGAGCUCGUAGGCGGUUUGUCGCGUCUGCUGUGAAAUCCCGAGGCUCAACCUCGGGCCUGCAGUGGGUACGGGCAGACUAGAGUGCGGUAGGGGAGAUUGGAAUUCCUGGUGUAGCGGUGGAAUGCGCAGAUAUCAGGAGGAACACCGAUGGCGAAGGCAGAUCUCUGGGCCGUAACUGACGCUGAGGAGCGAAAGGGUGGGGAGCAAACAGGCUUAGAUACCCUGGUAGUCCACCCCGUAAACGUUGGGAACUAGUUGUGGGGUCCAUUCCACGGAUUCCGUGACGCAGCUAACGCAUUAAGUUCCCCGCCUGGGGAGUA